GAUGAACGCUAGCGGCGUGCCUAAUACAUGCAAGUCGAGCGAACAGAUAAGGAGCUUGCUCCUUUGACGUUAGCGGCGGACGGGCGAGUAACACGUGGAUAACCUACCUAUAAGACUGGGAUAGCUUCGGGAAACCGGAGCUAAUACCGGAUAACAUAUUGAACCGCAUGGUUCAAUAGUGAAAGGCGGCUUUGCUGUCACUUAUAGAUGGAUCCGCGCCGUAUUAGCUAGUUGGUAAGGUAACGGCUUACCAAGGCAACGAUACGUAGCCGACCUGAGAGGGUGAUCGGCCACACUGGAACUGAGACACGGUCCAGACUCCUACGGGAGGCAGCAGUAGGGAAUCCUCCGCAAUGGGCGAAAGCCUGACGGAGCAACGCCGCGUGAGUGAUGAAGGUCUUCGGAUCGUAAAACUCUGUUCUCAGGGAAGAACAAAUGUGUAAGUAACUGAGCACAUCUUGACGGUACCUGAUCAGAAAGCCACGGCUAACUACGUGCCAGCCGCCGCGGUAA
rnacentral:rRNA from 1 species